UUUGGAGACUGGAGGACAUUCGCGUGGGCCUGGCUGACACCGCGUGCUCAUCCACGUCAUGGGGCCCCGUGGGUUCUUCCCAGGGGAGCCCGCACACCUGUGCUGAUGGCAGCAGUCAUGGAGCUGCAUCUGGGUGAGGAGCCCGGGAGUGGCCACGUGUGUGUGAGCUCCCGUCGGCGUGAAUGGGGACACUGGUGGGUGCCCCUGUCUACCUGUCCUGUCCCUGCUCAGUGUUGGCCUCCUUGUGGAGUGGGGCCCCAUCGGUGGCUUUUCAGAUGAAUCAAGGACGCUCCAGGCAGAGCCGCUGUCACUCCAGGCAGAGCCCCCGUCUUCGAGGAGCUGCCCCUCCUCAGAUGACAGGUGUCUCCCGUUUCAGGAAACCGAUUUGCCCCUGGUCCGCCCGUCAUGAUGGGGAGGGCGGGGUUUGCUCCCCGGGAUGAGGAUGCCGGUCAG
rnacentral:lncRNA from 1 species